AUUGAACGCUGGCGGCAGGCCUAACACAUGCAAGUCGAGCGGAUGAAGGGAGCUUGCUCCUGGAUUCAGCGGCGGACGGGUGAGUAAUGCCUAGGAAUCUGCCUGGUAGUGGGGGAUAACGUCCGGAAACGGGCGCUAAUACCGCAUACGUCCUGAGGGAGAAAGUGGGGGAUCUUCGGACCUCACGCUAUCAGAUGAGCCUAGGUCGGAUUAGCUAGUUGGUGGGGUAAAGGCCUACCAAGGCGACGAUCCGUAACUGGUCUGAGAGGAUGAUCAGUCACACUGGAACUGAGACACGGUCCAGACUCCUACGGGAGGCAGCAGUGGGGAAUAUUGGACAAUGGGCGAAAGCCUGAUCCAGCCAUGCCGCGUGUGUGAAGAAGGUCUUCGGAUUGUAAAGCACUUUAAGUUGGGAGGAAGGGCAGUAAGAUAAUACCUUGCUGUGUUGACGUUACCAACAGAAUAAGCACCGGCUAACUUCGUG
rnacentral:rRNA from 1 species